rnacentral:rRNA from 1 species
UCCUGGCUCAGAACGAACGCUGGCGGCGUGCCUAACACAUGCAAGUCGAACGGGAUUUGAGAGCUUGCUCUUAAAUUUAGUGGCGCACGGGUGAGUAACGCGUAGAUAAUCUGCCUGAUGAUCUGGGAUAACACUUCGAAAGAGGUGCUAAUACCGGAUAAGCCCACGGGUUCUUUGGAAUCUGCGGGAAAAGGGGGGGACCUUUUGGCCUUCUGUCAUCAGAUGAGUCUGCGUACCAUUAGCUAGUUGGUAGGGUAAUGGCCUACCAAGGCUACGAUGGUUAGCUGGUCUGAGAGGAUGAUCAGCCACACUGGAACUGAGACACGGUCCAGACUCCUACGGGAGGCAGCAGUGGGGA